rnacentral:rRNA from 1 species
UGGGGAAUAUUGCACAAUGGGCGAAAGCCUGAUGCAGCGACGCCGCGUGAGGGAUGACGGCCUUCGGGUUGUAAACCUCUUUCAGCAGGGACGAAGCGCAAGUGACUGUACCUGCAGAAGAAGCACCGGCUAACUACGUGCCAGCAGCCGCGGUAAUACGUAGGGUGCGAGCGUUGUCCGGAUUUAUUGGGCGUAAAGAGCUUGUAGGCGGCUCGUCACGUCGGGUGUGAAAACUCGCGGCUCAACCGCGAGCCUGCACCCGAUACGGGCGGGCUAGAGUUCGGCAGGGGAGACUGGAAUUCCUGGUGUAGCGGUGGAAUGCGCAGAUAUCAGGAGGAACACCGGUGGCGAAGGCGGGUCUCUGGGCCGAUACUGACGCUGAGAAGCGAAAGCGUGGGGAGCGAACA